AUAAAUUAAGAGGCUAUUUACUGUUCAGGUUUAUAGUUGGUUCCCCUUUAUAACUAUGUACUUUUCCCUUCUGGCAGGUUUAACGUUCACCUGAGAGCUCCUGGAUCUAUUUCACACUCCACUAGGUCUUUGGGAGGGGGUAGGGUGCGAAGGUUUGCAGCAUCUCCACUAGCAUCAGAAGCUCUCCAAACCGAUCGGGAAGAGGAUCUAGCUGAAAAAACUUUGAACUUCAAUGCGACCGCCACAGCCACAAUUGCACACCAGCCUGAUUAGCUGUGUUUAUCUGCGAAGGACACAGCGAUGGAGAAGCUGAUCUUUGAACUUUCAUUGUGGCAGAAACCUCAGGGGAGCAUCAGGAUCAAUCUCAGCUGGACAGGAGAUGAAGGUUACGCUGUCCUGGCCUGUGCUGAGCUGAUGGGUGAAAAGAUUCCCCUCUGGGCCUUCCUGGUUUACAAUAGCCAUUCGGUGGAGCAAAGCCAACACAUCGAUCUCUCGCCUACGGAUUAUAUACAAAGGCACCAAUCAGUGUGGAAUGUUGAACGGGAAAAUAUGCUCCUUUUUGCUCUCUACUCCAUGUGGCUUCAUUAAGCUGCUCACAGUGCAUUUCCACUCAUUUUUUGAAGCACUACUCCUUGUGUGAGUGGAACUGGCUAUGACAAUGGCACAUAAAACAUUACCACAUAAAACAACACCUGUGAGGGUGCAGGGCAUUGUGAUAAAGCACCAUAAUCUCCACAAGGACAGCACUGAUAUUUGGGGCACAUAAGCAUGAUAAUGGGAUGCAUAAAUGUCAUAAGGUGACCUCUUCAAACUGAGGGCCGAUUAUCCUUCUGGAUGUGUCAUAUUGUUCUGGUGCACUUAGAUAUGUUGCUCUCCUGUGGGCUGUUCGGCUUUUCAUGUCCUUUUCACAUGAUAAAGGAAUGUGCUUAAAACAAACGCUCAUUCAGACUACACCGGUGAACUCUGAAUACAUUUAAAAAGGAAGAGAGAGAACAGGAAAGAGAGAGAGGUGGAUUGAAGAGAUGGUUUAACAAAUGAUCAAAAUUCUGUCAUUACGUGAAUGGUUUUAUGCUGUUGUUUAGAGAUUGAGAAAGAGAUUGUAGAGAUUGAAAUUUAUAAUCAGUGUUCUGUCAGUUAUGUUGAAAAUAGAUUAAAAUCUGUUCUGAUUUCUCUUAAUGUUUAUGGUUCCAUAAUGGUUGCACAAACUAUUCAUUUAGUACUUUUAAGGAAUAAAUAUUCUGAAAAAAAAUGCA
ensembl:lncRNA